rnacentral:rRNA from 1 species
UACGAAGGGGGCUAGCGUUGCUCGGAAUCACUGGGCGUAAAGGGUGCGUAGGCGGGUGUGCAAGUCUGUGGUGAAAGCCUCCAGCUUAACUGGAGAAGUGCCAUGGAUACUGCACAUCUUGAGGAGGGUAGGGGCAUCUGGAACGGUCGGUGGAGCGGUGAAAUGCGUUGAUAUCGACCGGAACUCCGGUGGCGAAGGCGAGGUGCUGGACCCUUUCUGACGCUGAGGCGCGAAAGCCAGGGGAGCAAACGGG